UACGUAGGGUGCGAGCGUUGUUCGGAAUUACUGGGCGUAAAGGGCGCGUAGGCGGCUUAUCAAGUCAGGCGUGAAAUUCCCGGGCUCAACCUGGGGGCUGCGCUUGAUACUGAUUGGCUUGAAUGCGGGAGAGGAUAGUGGAAUUCCCAGUGUAGAGGUGAAAUUCGUAGAUAUUGGGAAGAACACCGGUGGCGAAGGCGGCUAUCUGGCCCGUAAUUGACGCUGAGGCGCGAAAGCGUGGGGAGCAAACAGG
rnacentral:rRNA from 1 species